AACGCUGGCGGCGCGCUUAACACAUGCAAGUCGAGCGAGAACCAGUCCUUCGGGACUGGGGACAGCGGCGAACGGGUGAGUAACACGUGGGUGAUCUGCCCUCGAUUCUGGGAUAGCCCGGGGAAACCCGGAUUAAUACCGGAUAGCCUCGCUGGUCUACGGGCCGGCGAGAAAAGGUAGCUUCGGCCUCCGAUCGAGGAAGAGCCCGCGGCGGAUUAGCUUGUUGGUGGGGUAACGGCCUACCAAGGCGACGAUCCGUAGCUGGUCUGAGAGGACGAUCAGCCACACUGGGACUGAGACACGGCCCAGACUCCUACGGGAGGCAGCAGUGGGGAAUCUUGCGCAAUGGGCGAAAGCCUGACGCAGCGACGCCGCGUGGGGGAAGAAGGCCUUCGGGUUGUAAACCUCUUUUAAGAGAGAAGAAGCCACUCGGGUGAAUAGCCCAGAGGGUGACGGUAUCUCUAGAAUAAGCCCCGGCUAACUACGUGCCAGCCGCCGCGGUAA
rnacentral:rRNA from 1 species